UGCUGUCACUGUACAGCUUGGUACAGUUUGUGGGAAUAGUAUACAUCAUGCAUGCUAUAGCAAUUAUAGCCCCUUUUUACUAUCUCAGUAUAGUAACCUGAUUAGUCACUAGACUGAAGUAGGUUAUUAUCUUUUUCCAAAGUGGGAAUACUGGCAGUGAAAAUCUGAAAUGCUAAUCGAUGCCAGUGGGGCAGUGGCUAUGUUUUGAACCAUGAAACAAACAACUUGACCAGGCCAAUGAG